ensembl:miRNA gga-mir-6667 gga-mir-6667
GGAGAGUUGGCAGGCUGUGAGGGUGAGGGAAGGUGGCAAGCAUGUUUGGGCUGGGAGCAGAGCUUGCUACAUCUUGUCCCCACAGGGCGACGGCAAAAGACAGCCUGGAU